ACGAAGGGGGCUAGCGUUGUUCGGAAUUACUGGGCGUAAAGCGCACGUAGGCGGAUUUGUAAGUCAGGGGUGAAAUCCCGGGGCUCAACCUCGGAACUGCCUUUGAUACUGCAAAUCUCGAGUCCGGAAGAGGUGAGUGGAAUUCCUAGUGUAGAGGUGAAAUGCGUAGAUAUUAGGAAGAACACCAGUGGCGAAGGCGGCUCACUGGUCCGGUACUGACGCUGAGGUGCGAAAGCGUGUGGAGCAAACAG
rnacentral:rRNA from 1 species